UACGUAGGGUGCAAGCGUUGUCCGGAAUUAUUGGGCGUAAAGAGCUCGUAGGCGGUCUGUCGCGUCGGCUGUGAAAACUCGGGGGCUCAACUCCGAGCUUGCAGUCGAUACGGGCAGGCUAGAGUUCGGCAGGGGGAGACUGGAAUUCCUGGUGUAGCGGUGAAAAUGCGCAGAUAUCAGGAGGAACACCGGUGGCGAAGGCGGGGUCUCUGGGGCCAUACUGACGUGAG
rnacentral:rRNA from 1 species